CCUACGGGCGGCAGCAGUGGGGAAUAUUGGACAAUGGGGGGAACCCUGAUCCAGCGACGCCGCGUGAGUGCAGAAGUAUUUCGGUAUGUAAAGCUCUAUCAGCAGGGAAGAAAGAAAUGACGGUACCUGACUAAGAAGCCCCGGCUAACUACGUGCCAGCAGCCGCGGUAAUACGUAGGGGGCAAGCGUUAGCCGGAUUUACUGGGUGUAAAGGGAGCGUAGACGGCGAUGCAAGUCUGAAGUGAAAGGCGGGGGGCCAACCCCCGGACUGCUUUGGAAACUGUAUGGCUGGAGUGCAGGAGAGGUAAGUGGAAUUCCUAGUGUAGCGGUGAAAUGCGUAGAUAUUAGGAGGAACACCAGUGGCGAAGGCGGCUUACUGGACUGUAACGGACGUUGAGGCUCGAAAGCGUGGGGAGCAAACAGGAUUAGAUACCCUAGUAGUC
rnacentral:rRNA from 1 species